rnacentral:rRNA from 1 species
AACACAUGCAAGUCGAACGCGAAAGUCUCUUCGGAGAUGAGUAGAGUGGCGCACGGGUGAGUAACGCGUGGAUUAUCUACCUAUUGGUACGGGACAACAGUUGGAAACGACUGCUAAUACCGUAUAAGCUGGUAACGGGAAAGGGGGCCUCUUCUUGAAAGCUCUCGCCAGUAGAUGAGUCCGCGUUUCAUUAGCUAGACGGUGGGGUAACGGCCUACCGUGGCAACGAUGAAUAGCAGGCCUGAGAGGGUGGCCUGCCACACUGGGACUGGAACACGGCCCAGACUCCUACGGGAGGCAGCAGUGGGGAAUAUUGCGCAAUGGACGAAAGUCUGACGCAGCGACGCCGCGUGGAGGAUGAAGGUUUUCGGAUCGUAAACUCCUGUCAAGAGGGAAGAAACCUAUUAGGAAUAAUACUCCUAGUAAUUGACGGUACCUCUAGAGGAAGCACCGGCUAAUUCAGUGCCAGCAGCCGCGGUAAUACUGAAGGUGCAAGCGUUAAUCGGAAUCACUGGGCGUAAAGCGCUCGUAGGUGGCUUUGUAAGUCAGGUGUGAAAGCCCACGGCUCAACCGUGGAAUUGCACUUGAUACUGCAUCGC